rnacentral:tRNA from 1 species
GCUCCAGUGGCGCAGUUGGUUAGCGCAUGGUACUUAUAUGACAGUAUUGUAUGAGUUGAUCAAAAGAUACGUGAGAAAUGCCGAGGUCGCGAGUUCGAGCCUCGCCUGGAGCA